UACGUAGGUGACAAGCGUUGUCCGGAUUUACUGGGCGUAAAGAGCGCGCAGGCGGUCGAUCAAGUCGAGUGUGAAAGCCCCCGGCUCAACUGGGGAGGGUCAUUCGAUACUGAUCGACUCGAAGGCAGGAGAGGGUAGUGGAAUUCCCGGUGUAGUGGUGAAAUGCGUAGAUAUCGGGAGGAACACCAGUGGCGAAGGCGACUACCUGGCCUGUUCUUGACGCUGAGGCGCGAAAGCCAGGGGAGCGAACGGG
rnacentral:rRNA from 1 species